rfam:Schistosoma curassoni strain Dakar, Senegal genome assembly, scaffold: SCTD_contig0000076
GCACUGCUGAGGAGUCCUAUAUUAGGACGAAACGGCCGUUCAGUGU